CUGUCCCCCUCCUGGCUGUCUUAGAAGAGGCAAAGCAGAGAGUAAGAACAGAGCAGAUGUGUAAAUAGCAGCCUCUGCCAGCUGACAAGGGGAUGAGAAUCGGAACACUAGGGAAAUGCAUCUCGUGGCAGAAGUGGUUUCUGCACAAAGCCCAGCGGACAGAGGCAGGGACUCAGGGCUAGUCGCUGAUCUCUACAUUGACUAUCAGUACUCUUCAGAGUGGCACCACCACUGCUUUUCAGAAAUGAGAACUGACAUGCCUGUACCUACCGAUGAAUGGAGCUUGUUCUAAGCUUCAGGGCCUCCAUUCUCCGGGAGGAGCUGGGCCUCCUGGCCAAAGUGCUUGCUUUGGAGCUGAUGGCUCUGCCUCCAUCACCAUGUGAUCCCAGGAGAUGUGGUCCCCAGUCCCAGUCACUCAAUGGGUGAGGAUGAAUCUCCAGCCCCAGGCGCUGACAAGGCUGUGAAGGAGCCAAGAGGACAGGAUGCCACCUCUCUGUUGGGACAGGCGGAUGGGGUCAGGGCUUCCUUGUCGUCCCCUUGGGUGAAUAUCACUACCCUUGCUUUGCAGUACGAAGACAUCAGGAAAAUGUCUCAUCCUCUGUGUGAAACUGGACUGUUAAGAAACGGCCAGCCGUGCUAAUCACUGCUCACCUCUGCUGGGUGCCAAGGGCAGCCACCCACGUCAGCAGAAGCCCCCCAGUCUCAGAACUGGAGGUGGGGUACCUCCCAGGAAGCCCAAACCAGGGCUUCUACCCAAUCCCCCACUCUCCAAAGUGUCAGCACAUCAGCUGCCCAUUCUGGCCCCAUGGAGGUGGUCAUGCAGCAGCCCACGCAUACCCAGGCUCCUCUGGCUCUCCUGGCCCUGACCUGGGCUGUAGCUUCUGCCCAGAGCCCAACAUCUGAGCUGCAGGGCCUGACCUGAGUGGGGCUGACUGCAAGUCGGAGGACAUCCCAUCUUCCUGCCUUGCCCUCCAGAGCCCCACCUCAGGGAGCAGCCCCUGACUUGCAUUCAAAGCCCACACUUGGGUAUCCAUGUCCCAUGUGAUGGGGCAGUGGCCCCCAAGGCGCCCGCCCUUGUGUCCCCGAGUCCCUGCACCCAGUGAGUACGCCGGAGAGCAGGGUGAAAGGCCUUGGAGGCUGCGCUGAAGGUUGUUCACCUUACCACAUGGUGAAGAUCUAGGAAGCCCUGGGUGAAUCCUUGAAAGCAGAGAACGAAGAGGAAGUCAGGUGGGGGAGGACAGGAGGCUGGCUUUCCCUGCCUGUGGAGGGUCACCUGAGCCCCUUGAGCAGGCAGUUGGCUAUAGUCAGACCCUGUGCUUGCUUAAACCUCAGAGAUGAAGCAAGAUAGCCGGAGGUUGACAGGUGGAGUGAAUAGCCCCAACCCGCCUGUCUUGUCUCGUCAGCACGAAAUAAAAGUGACUG